CCCGGGCCUUGUACACACCGCCCGUCACACCAUGGGAGCUGGUUUUACCCGAAGCCGGUGUGCUAACCCGCAAGGGAGGUAGCCGACCACGGUAAGGUCAGCGACUGGGGUG
rnacentral:rRNA from 1 species